UACGUAGGGGGCAAGCGUUGUCCGGAAUCAUUGGGCGUAAAGAGCGUGUAGGCGGCCCGAUAAGUCCGCUGUGAAAGUCCAGGGCUCAACCCUGGGAUGCCGGUGGAUACUGUCGGGCUCGAGUCCGGAAGAGGAGUGUGGAAUUCCUGGUGUAGCGGUGAAAUGCGCAGAUAUCAGGGGGAACACCAAUGGCGAAGGCAGCACUCUGGGACGUGACUGACGCUGAGACGCGAAAGCGUGGGGAGCAAACAGG
rnacentral:rRNA from 1 species